rnacentral:RNase_P_RNA from 1 species
UGCACAAGUCAAUCGCAGGUAUAAUUAAAAUAACUUUAGUUUUAUAAUUCUAUUUUAUUUAUAUUUGAGGAAAGUCCGCGCUAGCACUACCUGUGAUGGUAGUAGUGUUCAUGUUGGGUCUAAUAAACCCAAGCUUAGACGACAAGUGCCACAGAGACGAGUUUAUUUAUUAAUUUUUUAUCUGUUUAUAUUAAAUAAUUGUCUAAAAUUUUAAAAAAUUAAUAAAUAAGGUGAAACGCGGUAAACUCCAUGAGCUAGAAACCUAAAUUUUGGUGAGGGAACCCAAUUUCGGGAAACGAACUUCGAUUGGGAAAUUUUUUAAAUACUUUUAGUUUAAAAAAUUUAGACAAAUGGUUGACUGAUACAGAACGCGGCUUAUUAGU